rnacentral:rRNA from 1 species
AGUGAACGCUGGCGGUAGGCCUAACACAUGCAAGUCGAACGGCAGCACAGUAAGAGCUUGCUCUUACGGGUGGCGAGUGGCGGACGGGUGAGGAAUACAUCGGAAUCUACUUUUUCGUGGGGGAUAACGUAGGGAAACUUACGCUAAUACCGCAUACGACCUACGGGUGAAAGCAGGGGAUCUUCGGACCUUGCGCGAUUGAAUGAGCCGAUGUCGGAUUAGCCAGUUGGCGGGGUAAAGGCCCACCAAGGCGACGAUCCGUAGCUGGUCUGAGAGGAUGAUCAGCCACACUGGAACUGAGACACGGUCCAGACUCCUACGGGAGGCAGCAGUGGGGAAUAUUGGACAAAGGGCGCAAGCCUGAUCCAGCCAUACCGCGUGGGUGAAGAAGGCCUUCGGGUUGUAAAGCCCUUUUGUUGGGAAAGAAAAGCAGCAGGUUAAUACCCCGCUGUUCUGACGGUACCCAAAGAAUAAGCACCGGCUAACUUCGUG